CAUUCAUGUCAUAAACAACAGUUUUCCUUUUAUUUUUCAAUCUCUUCAAAAUAAAAUCGAAGCGGGUGAUUAGUUUGAACAACCCGGUGCUAAUAUCUAAGAAUUAAAACAGAAGUGAGAUCAUAAAAUUUGUGGUUAAAAAAGCAAUAGAUCUAUACGAAUAAGGUCACAUGCAAUGACGCUGGCUGAAGUUAAGACUAUUUCUACUCUAAACAUGAUAUUGUUCGUUCUAAUGAUAUUGUUUUUCUGUGGGAUUUACAUUUGGUGCAAGAAGCGAAAACCGUAUCAAUUAAUUCUUCAUAACGUACACGAAUCACAAAUUAUGAAUAAUAUUUCUGAUAAAGCUAAAGUACAAACAAUUCUUCGAGAAUUAACUAAUCUUAACUUAAAUAAUAUAGAGGUAAAGAGAAUUGGAACAUCGUCUGAAAAUGUUCGACCAAUUGUUGUUGCGUUCGAUUCUAUGCAUUAUGUUCGAGAGAUUUUAAAUAAUCGUCAGUUUCUUAGAUAUACAAUGUAUAAUAAGAUUAAUGUGUGCCCAUAUAAAAAGAAUAGCAUUCUUUCAUUAAAACUUGGUUUUUAUUAUUUUCUUUUAACUUGUAUUAUUUUAUUUUUUGUUUAUGCUUAUAGAGAAAUGUGACGUAAACGUAUUUUUGAUAACGAUUUUCUUAGAAGAAUUUAAAACAAUUGCUUUACUAAAAAUGUUUUAGACAAUAAUGUACUUUUAAUAUUGUUUUGAAAUAUUAUAGAGAGUAUUGAUAAUAAAGAGUUUUUACAUCUAGUCAA